rnacentral:ncRNA from 1 species
AGGACAUUAGAUUUUCUUAACGUUCUGCAAGAAACCUAGCAACUCGGCAACAGGAAGUUGCCGAGAGCGAGGCUUGAGCCAUGGAUGGCGAAUGCCAAGCGGUUGCGUCAAUCUUGUUAUACCAAAAUCAGAACGCUUAGAAAAUAUUAUGUCCG